AUUGAACGCUGGCGGCAUGCUUUACACAUGCAAGUCGAACGGUAACAGGCCUUCGGGUGCUGACGAGCGGCGAACGGGUGAGUAAUGCAUCGGAACGUGCCCAGAGGUGGGGGAUAACGCAGCGAAAGCUGUGCUAAUACCGCAUGUGAUCUGAGGAUGAAAGCGGGGGACCAGGCAGCAAUGUUUGGCCUCGCGCCUUUGGAGCGGCCGAUGUCAGAUUAGGUAGUUGGUGGGGUAAAGGCCUACCAAGCCGACGAUCUGUAGCUGGUCUGAGAGGACGACCAGCCACACUGGGACUGAGACACGGCCCAGACUCCUACGGGAGGCAGCAGUGGGGAAUUUUGGACAAUGGGCGCAAGCCUGAUCCAGCAAUGCCGCGUGCGGGAAGAAGGCCUUCGGGUUGUAAACCGCUUUUGUACGGAACGAAAAGGCUCUGGCUAAUACCUGGGGCUGAUGACGGUACCAUAAGAAUAAGCACCGGCUAACUACGUG
rnacentral:rRNA from 1 species